CCCUUAGAUGUCCUGGGCCGCACGCGCGCUACACUGAGUGUCUGAGAUACGAGUCUGCCUGGUCCGGCAAGGUCUAGGUAAUCGCUAAAAGACACAUCAUGCUUGGGAUAGAUUAUUGCAAAUAUUAAUCUUGAACGAGGAAUUCCUAGUAAGCGCAAGUCAACAGCUUGCGUUGAUUACGUCCCUGCCCUUUGUACACACCGCCCGUCGCUACUACUGAUUGGAUGUUUAAGCGAGGUUCUCGAACUGCUAGCGACUUAGCUUCGGUGAGGUCGCAGUGUGGGAAGUGAACCUAGCUUUGGUGUCUAGAGGAGGUAAAAGUCGUAACA
rnacentral:rRNA from 1 species